UGGGGAAUAUUGGACAAUGGGCGCAAGCCUGAUCCAGCCAUGCCGCGUGUGUGAAGAAGGCCUUUUGGUUGUAAAGCACUUUAAGCGAGGAGGAGGCUACUUGGAUUAAUACUCUAAGAUAGUGGACGUUACUCGCAGAAUAAGCACCGGCUAACUCUGUGCCAGCAGCCGCGGUAAUACAGAGGGUGCGAGCGUUAAUCGGAUUUACUGGGCGUAAAGCGUGCGUAGGCGGCUUCUUAAGUCGGAUGUGAAAUCCCUGAGCUUAACUUAGGAAUUGCAUUCGAAACUGGGAGGCUAGAGUAUGGGAGAGGAUAGUAGAAUUCCAGGUGUAGCGGUGAAAUGCGUAGAUAUCUGGAGGAAUACCGAUGGCGAAGGCAGCCAUCUGGCCUAAUACUGACGCUGAGGUACGAAAGCAUGGGGAGCAAACAGG
rnacentral:rRNA from 1 species